UACAGAGGGGGCAAGCGUUGUUCGGAAUUACUGGGCGUAAAGGGCGCGUAGGCGGCCUCUUAAGUCGAACGUGAAAUCCCCGGGCUCAACCCGGGAACUGCGUCCGAUACUGGGAGGCUUGAAUCCGGGAGAGGGAUGUGGAAUUCCAGGUGUAGCGGUGAAAUGCGUAGAUAUCAGGAGGAAUACCCAUAGCGAAGGCAGCUCGCUGGGACGGUACUGACGCUGAGGCGCGAAAGCGUGGGGAGCGAACAGG
rnacentral:rRNA from 1 species